UGAAGAUUAGGAAAAUUUGUGUUCGUCUCAGACUGCGAACUGGCCGAGACACCAGGGCCGCGAGACUUGAUCGGAAUGAUCGGAUCCCAUCAAUCAACACACCUGAUCAGCAGCACGGCGGCGGGCGGGCAAAAGCUUGUGAACAAAACUCGGGGUUUCCCCGCAAUUGGAUAGAGGCCAGGGGGGACGCCUGCCCAGAGUACCGUGUGAGCGCCGAUAACCUGUUCACAGAGAUCCAUGAUGAGACACUGUUUCGGAGAGGAGCGGACCACAGGCUGAUUUGCCAGCCGGCAGCCGCGAUGUAACGUCAGUGUUGAAGCCCUUGUAACAGAAUCCGCAGCUGUCCGUCAGGACCGGAGCCCGCCUCCAGAGUGACCUUCCUCAGCGGACACGCCCCGUCCACCUGUUCCACAGGUGCGCUCGGCAAGAUGGCGGCGGGACGAGCUGCUGCUGCUCGAGGACGCCGAAAUGAGUGCCCUGUCCGUUUGGGCGUGCUCUGGAAGUUUGAAAAGUGCCAAAAGGAUUUCAGGAACGGGAUACCAGUUAUGAAAAAGUGUUUUUUAACGUUCUGCGGCUCCUGAUCCUCAGCGCUCAGUCGAAAUCGUGUCCACUCCAGCAACUCGUCGUGCAUUGGCAAGUUAUUCUUGACAAUGUUGUAUCUUGCUCUUAAUAGGGAAUGUAGCUGACCAACGUCACGCUGUUGACUGCUGCUACUGUAUGUGCUGUGCAUUGUGAAAUAAAA